CGUAAGCCGUGAGAAUCGUCUUCCAGUCCGGGGCCACCAGUUAGAAAUGAUUGUUAAUCCGGGAUAUCCCUGAUUGGUGAAAGAUUUAUUGCCUGAAAAUGAGCUCGCGUCAGAUUAGCUAGUAGGUGGUGUAAGAGACUACCUAGGCAUCGAUCUGUAGCUGGUCUGAGAGGACGAUCAGCCACACUGGAACUGAGACACGGUCCAGACUCCUACGGGAGGCAGCAGUGGGGAAUUUUCCGCAAUGGGCGAAAGCCUGACGGAGCAAUACCGCGUGAGGGACGAAGGCUUUUGGGUCGUAAACCUCUUUUCUCAAGGAAGAUUUAGACGGUACUUGAGGAAUAAGCAUCGGCUAACUCCGUGCCAGCAGCCGCGGUAAUACGGAGGAUGCAAGCGUUAUCCGGAAUGAUUGGGCGUAAAGCGUCCGCAGGUGGCUUUAAAAGUCUGCUGUUAAAGCGUUAGGCUUAACCUAAUUACGGCAGUGGAAACUAUAAGGCUAGAGUAUGUUAGGGGUAGAGGGAAUUCCCAGUGUAGCGGUGAAAUGCGUAGAGAUUGGGAAGAACACCGGUGGCGAAAGCGCUCUGCUAGGACAAUACUGACCA
rnacentral:rRNA from 1 species